rnacentral:rRNA from 1 species
UACGUGAGGUGGCAAGGCGUUGUCCGGAUUUACUGGGCGUAAAGAGCGCGCAGGCGGUCGUUCAAGUCGCGUGUGGAAAGCCCCCGGCUCAACUGGGGAGGGUCACGCGAUACUGAUCGACUCGAAGGCAGGAGAGGGUAGUGGAAUUCCCGGUGUAGUGGUAGUCGAAAUGCGUAGUAGAAUCGGGAGGAACACCAGGUGGCG